CUCAACAAUGGCCUCCAUUGGACAAACUGGCCGAAGUCCAGGUUUGUGAAGCUAUUUCACAUUCCCACCUGCAGAGAGAACUUGUUAGCCACACUUCUAGAAACUGUAGUUUAAGAUGAAACAGUCUCUUGAGGUUAAUCAGAUUAAAAUUGGCAUCACUAAAAAUCAGCCAUAUGCUUGUCUAUUGGAUAAUCAUCACUACACCCCGUCAUUUUAUUCAGUUAUUAAAAAACGGAACACUCACCAUUCUAGGCAGCCAUCAUCCUUGUUCUGUCCAUACAGUCUGUGAGAAAAAGGGGAUUUUAAAUCUCGUCAAGUCUUAUUGAACUGAGGUGGGCUCCGUUGGGUUACUCAGAAUCUGGUAAAGAAGUUUCUUCAAAGUUGGAUUCGGCAAGAGAGAGUUCAAAGAUCAUCAUUGUAGCGUGGACAUGGGUAAAUACCAUCAAACUCCAAUGGCUCCAAUACCUUCGAAUAGGUCUGCAUUGUCCAACCUAUGUAGAGAAAUCAACAGUAUUCAACAUUAUAUUCUCAAAGCCCAUUUAGACCUCAAGCACAUACUUCGCUACUCAGAAUAUUUUACGUUUUCCACAAAAUAUUCAGUGAGAGAGUUCAAUAACAUCACGGUAGCAGUCAACCCAGGUUGCAUGGACGUCUACUUCCAAGCCCACUUAACAAGUUCCAUUUACCUUUGGCGUUUGCCGUAAGGUAGUGUUCGGCUUCCAUCUGAGAAGAAAAAAGUAACUCAUUAACUGCAGUCUACAGAGCACAACACGUGCUAGUCGUUUUGGACAGGUUUAUGUUAAGAACUGAGCGGCCAGGGUCUCCAUUCAGGAUAAAAAUGGUGCAUUCACAGUCAUUCAGAACAGGUCUGUGUAGUUAUCAUCAUUAUAAGAGACACCGAAAAUGGCCGCAGCAGUGACACCCAAGCUCGGGUUAAAAGGUGCCGAUCCUCCCAUUAAAAAUAUCACGCGUUAAAUGUAGGACACUGGUUACAAAACGCAUAAAAUUAAUGUUCUUUGGAAAACGACCACAUAUAGCCCGUCGAUGGCCAUGGAUGGUUACGUGUUGUGUGAAACAUCCACCACUGGUAGUGCUUAUUGGACAACCGCCAAGUACGCUUUAACUGAAGAAAGCCGCACUACAGUGCAAGUACUAUUGACUUCAAAUGUACAACAAAGACUAAACCAAAGAUAACUUGAAUAUCUAAUCCUACUAAAAAAUAAAUGGUCUUCGCUUGACUAUGAACUUACCUUAACGGAAGG
ensembl:lncRNA